UACACACCGCCCGUCACACCAUGAGAGUCGGGAACAACCCAAAGUCCGUAGCCUAACCGCGAAGGGGGGCGCGGCCGAAGGUGGGUUCGAUAAUUGGGGUGAAGUCGUAACAAGGUACC
rnacentral:rRNA from 1 species